GGGAACCCUAAAGUUUGCUUAGAACAGGGUGAGAUGGACUAGAAAGGGUACAGCUAGUGGCAGAAACCGCAUCCCACGUCUGCCAUUUCCUCUCCUGGCGCCCUCCCCGCAGUCCAAAGACUUUUAUUAUGGCUUUGUGGAUCCUGUGCCUUAUUUUGUAGUCCUUGUGGGUGCUAUUUUUGCCUGUUUACUGAAAGCAUCAUCAGCUUUCCCCCGAGUGAUCCAUUGUAGCUCUGACCAUUCAUUCAUUCAAUGCACACUCACCAGUCUUUGCUUUAUAAAUAUGUGGUCGAUGACCACUAGGGGGAAGCCACUUCAAUAAGAGAGUUUCAGGUGGUUUUUAUUGAUCUGCGAUGGUGUAAAGGUAGGAGAAAAGACCCAGGGACUUCUGCGGUUGUUGCCUUUGGACUUCUUGCCAGUCUUCCUUUGGGGGAGGUACCUGGGAUUGAGCUCAGGACCACUUGACGACUGAGCCACAUCCCCAGCCCUACUUUGUGUUUUAUUUAGAGACAGGGUCUCACUGAGUUGCUUAGCGCCUUGCUUUUGCUGAGGCUGGCUUUGAACUCUCAUUCUCCUGCCUCAGCCUCCCGAGCAUCUGAGAUGGUAGGCAGGCACCACAGCGCCCCGCCAGCCCUCCUUUGUUUAUUCCACAAUGUAGCCCACCAGGUCCAUGUGUGCUGACUGCUGGGGUCUGUGGGCUUAACCUGUAGCACUUGACCUAGCUCAUUGCCGUUCCCAGGAUUCCAUCACAUCCUCUACCCAGUACCCUUCUGACCCUCUGCUGUGUAAUCAGCAAAGUAUUGGCUGGCUCCUAGAGGAACCAGAAAUGCUGAGACCUUUGGUGCUGAGGCAGAGAAUCUGACUGCAUGGAUGAGUAAUCUGGCCAUUUCUCUUUUGGGUAGGGGAAGAAAGCCAGUUCUCUAGUCCAGUUCCCCAAUCGACAUCCACAACUCUGCUGCUCUCACCACCCUUGGGGGUAAUUGUGGCAAACAAUAUUUUUAAGUUCUGCAAAUUUUUGUGCUUGAAGAAAUUGCCUACUGUUUUUCCCUCAUGCAACAGCAACUUAGGCAAAACACAUCUCUGCUGGAUUAGGUAUCACAAACAAAUAUCUGUAUGAGAAAAAUCAUUAAAAUUAAGCAUAUUUUUGAUGGGUCAGGAUUCCCCUGAGGUCCUUUCCAUGCACCGGUUAGUUUACUGGACUGGUCAUGCCUCCUCUUGCUCUCAGUGGGCUGAACAAGAAUCACCUUGUUUUAUUGUCUAAUUUUGCUGCUAAACACUAC
rnacentral:lncRNA from 1 species